ACUCAAAUGAAUUGACGGGGGUCCGCACAAGCGGUGGAACAUGUGGUUUAAUUCGACACUACGCGAGAAACCUUACCUAGGCUUGACAUAUUUUGGACCGCUGUGGAAACACGGCUUUCUGGGAAACCGGACCAUUAUACAGGUGCUGCAUGGCUGUCGUCAGCUCGUGUCGUGAGAUGUUGGGUUAAGUCCUUUAACGAGCGCAACCCUUGCCCUUAGUUGCUCCUCGCAAGAGAGAACUCUAAGGGGACUGCCUAGGAAACUAGGAGGAAGGUGGGGAUGACGUCAAGUCCUCAUGGCCCUUAUGCCUAGGGCUACACACGUGUUACAAUGGUAAGUACAAAGGGAAGCAAACCUGCGAAGGUGAGCAAAACCCAUCAAAGCUUAUCUAAGUUCGGAUUGGAGUCUGCAACUCGACUCCAUGAAGUUGAAAUCGCUAGUAAUCGCGCAUCAGAACGGCGCGGUGAAUACGUUCUCGGACCUUGUACACACCGCCCGU
rnacentral:rRNA from 1 species